rnacentral:lncRNA from 1 species
GAAGAUCCUAACAAUCGGCGCUGCUUAUUUAGCAUUUCACAAGAGUCAAGCAAAGAAAAAAGGGGAUUCGAGCAGAAUUGAACUGAUGAUUGACCGUCUGACCUUACAGGGCGUGACUCGUCGUCCUUAAAGCACUAAGUUAUUUACAGAUCUCAUCUAGCGCCCUAGCUAUCUUUAUCUCACAUCAAGUUAGAAGGACUUCUUAGCCGACUGUGUUAAGCAUACGUACAUUGACACAUUUCUUUGUGUCAUUCUUUAUCACAUGCGCAUGAUUG